rnacentral:tRNA from 1 species
GAGGGUAUAGCUCAGUGGUAGAGCACCUGCUUAGUAGGCACAAGGUCCUCGGUUCAAUCCCCAAUAUCUCCU